UACAGAGGGUGCGAGCGUUGUUCGGAAUCAUUGGGCGUAAAGGGCGCGUAGGCGGUCCCACAAGUCGAAUGUGAAAGCCCAGGGCUCAACCUUGGAAGUGCAUUCGAAACUAGGGGACUUGAGUCUCGGAGAGGGUGGUGGAAUUCCCAGUGUAGAGGUGAAAUUCGUAGAUAUUGGGAGGAACACCGGUGGCGAAGGCGACCACCUGGACGAAGACUGACGCUGAGGCGCGAAAGCGUGGGGAGCAAACAGG
rnacentral:rRNA from 1 species